rnacentral:lncRNA from 1 species
AGGAUAAGUGAGUUAUAAAGGGAAGGGAUCUCAAUUUAAACCAGAAAUGACUAAAAUACAUCUUUGACUGGAUCUAUGAAUAAAUCUAUGACUGGGUUUGGACUUGCUUUUUAGGCAAAACAAUGAAUGAUGCAAGCUGAAGCUGGUAUUGCGUCAUACAUGAUAUGAAUUGCAUCAUGUUAUUCCUAGAAGUCACAGAUGAUGCAAUCAUAACGAAGCUUACAUCACUCUGCUGAACAAAUUGCCCUAUAUCAGCUCUAAAAAUCAUACAGUGUCAUGCCCUCUUAUUUGUCAGUGUUUGAUUUUGCAAAGGGACACGUUUCUGUUUAGCCAAAGUGAGCAGAGAUGCCUCGUACUUGUGUGAACAGUGCAGAUAACUUCUGCUAUGUUUGUGGUGAAGUGACUUUUGCAUCACAAAAGCGCAGUAUAACCACUAUGGUUAAGAAAGCCUAUCACCUUUAUUUUGGCUGCAAAAUUGGAGAUCAGGACAAGAGGUGGGCCCCACACAUAUGCUGCAACACUUGUGCAACAAAUCUUCGCCAGUGGUUGAACAGGAAAAGGAAAUCUAUGCCUUUUGCAGUGCCAAUGCUUUGGAGCGAGCCAACAGAUCAUACCAGCAAUUGUUACUUCUGCAUGGUGCCUCCAGUUGGGAAAGGUGUGUCAAAGAAGAAAAAGUGGACUGUGCAUUAUCCAAACAUUCCAUCAGCUAUACGCCCAGUACCCCACGGAGAAGGACUGCCAGUUCCUGAUGCACCAGAAUCAUUCUCACUUGAGUCAGAAGAGGAAGAGGAUGAAACUUCUGGUCCUGAACCAUCAAUGUCACAGGACCCACAUUUUCUCCCAUCCUCCUCCUCUGAACCACACCUCAUAACACAAGGUGAACUGAAUGACCUUGUCAGGGAUUUGGAACUACCCAAGAGUAAGACAGAGCUGUUGGGCUCCAGACUACAGAGGUGGAAUCUCCUGGCAGGUGAUGUUAGGGUUUCCAUGUUCCAUGACCGUCAAAAGGAUCUUGUCCCAUUCUUCUUCAUGGAAGGUGAACCUGUAGCCUGCAACAACAUUGAUGGUGUGAUGGCAGCCCUCAACCUCGUUCACGAUCCAGAUGAGUGGAGACUGUUCAUUGAUUCCUCGAAGACGAGUCUUAAAGCUGUUUUACUGCAUAAUGGCAAUGUUUUGCCAUCAAUUCCAGUCGGUCAUGCAGUCCAUGUGAAGGAAACCUAUGACACCAUGAAACAACUUUUGAGGUGCAUAAACUAUGACCAACAUCAGUGGCAGCUUCGUG